ACGGACGAGGCCCCUUCGGGGACCGAGUUAGUGGCGAACGGGUGAGUAACGCGUGAGGAACCUGCCUUUCAGUGGGGGACAACAGUUGGAAACGACUGCUAAUACCGCAUGAAGCAUUUAGGGGGCAUCCCCUGAAUGCCAAAGAUUUAUUGCUGAAAGAUGGCCUCGCGUCUGAUUAGCUAGUUGGAGGGGUAACGGCCCACCAAGGCAACGAUCAGUAGCCGGUCUGAGAGGAUGAACGGCCACAUUGGGACUGAGAUACGGCCCAGACUCCUACGGGAGGCAGCAGUGGGGAAUAUUGGGCAAUGGGGGAAACCCUGACCCAGCAACGCCGCGUGAAGGAAGAAGGCUUUCGGGUUGUAAACUUCUUUUACCAGGGACGAAGAAAGUGACGGUACCUGGAGAAAAAGCCACGGCUAACUACGUGCCAGCAGCCGCGGUAAUACGUAGGUGGCAAGCGUUGUCCGGAUUUACUGGGUGUAAAGGGCGUGUAGGCGGAGAUUCAAGUCAGGAGUGAAAACUAUGGGCUUAACCCAUAAACUGCUUUUGAAACUGA
rnacentral:rRNA from 1 species